rnacentral:lncRNA from 1 species
CUGAGGCUUCCCAGAUGCCCCGAGAGGAAAGAAAUGAAUGGUGUGAUUGAGGAGGCCAAGCACUGGGGCAAAGGGAAGCCGCUGCUGGCCCCUCUGUGAGCUAAAGGAAGUGGCAAGAAUCUUAAGUGGAGACCAGUUUUGCCCCAAGCACAAAGUAGACAGAAGUACAAAAACUUCCUGUUUGCAGCUCCUGAGAACGUGUUCCAGUGAUGGAACCUCAAAGGAAUUUGUGCAUUCCUCUCCCACAAGUGUCCAGGGCAAAAGUGCUGGGAGAAUGAGUUCACAGAAGAAGCAAGAAUGGCAGAGCUCUGUGAGAUGA